AUUGAACGCUGGCGGAAUGCUUUACACAUGCAAGUCGAGCGGCAGCGCGGGGCAACCUGGCGGCGAGCGGCGAACGGGUGAGUAACAUAUCGGAACGUACCCAGUCGUGGGGGAUAACUAUCCGAAAGGAUAGCUAAUACCGCAUACGACCUGAGGGUGAAAGCGGGGGACCGAAAGGCCUCGCGCGAUUGGAGCGGCCGAUAUCGGAUUAGCUAGUUGGUGAGGUAAAGGCUCACCAAGGCGACGAUCCGUAGCUGGUCUGAGAGGACGACCAGCCACACUGGAACUGAGACACGGUCCAGACUCCUACGGGAGGCAGCAGUGGGGAAUUUUGGACAAUGGGGGGCAACCCUGAUCCAGCCAUUCCGCGUGAGUGAAGAAGGCCU
rnacentral:rRNA from 1 species